rnacentral:lncRNA from 1 species
CCAGGAUAGAGAGAGGGAAAUGGCAGGGUCAGAGCCCUGGGGACUCCUCUGUGGAAGAGUUGCUGAGGAGCUGUUUUCUCAGUGAGGGAAAAUAAAAUCCUCAAGGAGCCUCAGAUCCAAACCAUUCCAAUACACCAUUUUUCAUCAGCUGAAUUUCUCUUGGGAACUUAAUCAAGAAACAAACUCACCAGAAAUACCAUCAGUUCAAACUGAAAAGGUACCU